AGUCUAAGAGAAUUGUUUCAAGUCAUCUCUUAGUUACUGUUUUCAACAUCCAAUUGUGUCUCUGGUUUCAAUCAACCACCAAACUAACAAGAAAGGAAAUAAGGAUGAACAUCUCUCAAGUGCUUCGCUUAUUAUGCAUGAUCCUCCUCUUAUCUCAAGUCGCUUGGAGUCUGACUCCAUGCGAAGAAGACAGAGGCCGGGAAGCAGAUUGUCCAAGGCCACAACGAAACAAUCGUAAAAGAGGGCCCCCUUCAGGACGACCAUGAAAAGAAAAAUGGCGCAUGGUCUUUCGACUAAUAAGGGAGCAAAAUGAUCCUUCCCUCCCAUCACUGAUUUUAGUGAAUUACGAUUAAGUUUUAUUUUACAAAGCCAUUCAGAAAAAUCAAACAAAAAAUAGUGUGUAGAAAUAAUUGUCAUAGCUUGUUUCUUUGCAUAACGUUGUAAAUUAUUUCUCUUUUCGAAAUUUUCAGUUAUGUGGCAUGCAAUUUAUUUUUUUCCAUUUAAUUAAUGAAGCUCAUCUUUUAAUA